GAUGAACGCUGGCGGCGUGCCUAAUACAUGCAAGUCGAGCGAACGGACGAGAGGCUUGCUUCUCUGAUGUUAGCGGCGGACGGGUGAGUAACACGUGGAUAACCUACCUAUAAGACUGGGAUAACUUCGGGAAACCGGAGCUAAUACCGGAUAAUAUUUUGAACCGCAUGGUUCAAAAGUGAAAGACGGUCUUGCUGUCACUUAUAGAUGGAUCCGCGCUGCAUUAGCUAGUUGGUAAGGUAACGGCUUACCAAGGCAACGAUGCAUAGCCGACCUGAGAGGGGGUUCGCCCACCGUGAAACGGAGACACGGUCCAGCCCCCGAGGGGAGGCAACAGUAGGGAAGCUUCCGAAAGGGGGGAAAGCCUGACGGAGCAACGCCGGGUGGGUGAAGAAGGUCUUCGGUCCGUAAAACUCUUUUUUGGGGGAAAAACAAAUGUGUAAGUAACGGUGCACAUUUUAAGGGUACCGAAAAAGAAGGCCCCGGUAAACUAGGG
rnacentral:rRNA from 1 species